rnacentral:rRNA from 1 species
GAUGAACGCUGGCGGCGUGCCUAAUACAUGCAAGUCGAGCGAACGGACGAGAAGCUUGCUUUUCUGAUGUUAGCGGCGGACGGGUGAGUAACACGUGGAUAACCUACCUAUAAGACUGGGAUAACUUCGGGAAACCGGAGCUAAUACCGGAUAAUAUUUUGAACCGCAUGGUUCAAAAGUGAAAGACGGUCUUGCUGUCACUUAUAGAUGGAUCCGCGCUGCAUUAGCUAGUUGGUAAGGUAACGGCUUACCAAGGCAACGAUGCAUAGCCGACCUGAGAGGGUGAUCGGCCACACUGGAACUGAGACACGGUCCAGACUCCUACGGGAGGCAGCAGUAGGGAAUCUUCCGCAAUGGGCGAAAGCCUGACGGAGCAACGCCGCGUGAGUGAUGAAGGUCUUCGGAUCGUAAAACUCUGUUAUUAGGGGAGAACAUAUGUGUAAGUAACUGCGCACAUCUUGACGGUACCUAAUCAGAAAGCCACGGCUAACUACGUG